CCUUGUACACACCGCCCGUCACACCAUGGGAGUCAGUUGCUCCAGAAGUGGCUUACCCAACCCGCAAGGGAGGGUAGUCCCCAAGGAGUGACUGGUAACUGGGGUG
rnacentral:rRNA from 1 species